UAACCUGCCCGGUGAAUUUUUUUAAACGGCCGCGGUAUCUUGACCGUGCAAAGGUAGCAUAAUCAAUUGUCUUAUAAUUGAAGACUGGAAUGAAUGGUUGAAUGAAAUAAAAGCUGUCUUAUUUAUAUUUGUUAGAAAUUGGCUUUUAAAUGAAGAGAUUUAAAUAUAAUUGAUAGACAAGAAGAACCUAUUGAGCUUAAAGUGAUUUUGAAGAUAUGUUUUAUUAUUAAAAUAUAAGUUUUUAAAUUCUUUUAGUUGGGGCGACUAAGGAGUAGAAGAAGCUUCCUUUAAUAUAAGAACUAUUAAGUUUUGAUCCGAUAAAAUUGAUUGAAAGAGAUAGUUACCAUAGGGAUAACAGCAUAAUCUUCUUUGAGAGUUCAUAUCGAAAAGGGGGUUUGUGACCUCGAUGUUGGACUAAAAUAUACCUAUAAAUGCACGCCUGUAUAAGGUUGG
rnacentral:rRNA from 1 species